ensembl:lncRNA
CAGACGACCCGGCCACUCCCCCGUCAAGUUUGCCGCUUGAACUGGAAGUGAGGGGAGGAGCUGAAGUGAUGGGCGGUGCGGAGUCGGCCACGCCCCUAAUGUCUCCACACGCCCCAGAAGCGAGGGGCGGAGCUGAAGAGAGGGGCGGUGCAGAGUCGGCCACGCCCCCCACGUCUCCACACGCCCUAGAAACGAGGGGAGGAGCUGAAGAGAUGGGCGGUGCGGAGUCGGCCACGCCCCCAAUGUCUCCACUCGCCCCAGAAGCGAGGGGCGGAGCUGAAGAGAUGGGCGGUGCGGAGUCGGCCCCGCCCCCAUCAGUGCCACUCACCCCGCAGGAAGUGAGAGAACCCGAAUUGAGAGUGAGAACGGACCAGGCCACGCCCCUGGUCGCCCCGGAAGUAGAACCGGAAUUGACAGGGCGAACGGAAUCGGCCACGCCCCCACUCGCCCCGGAAGUGAGAGAAUCAGAAUUGAGAGGUAGAACGGACCCUGCCACGCCCCCGGGAACACCGGAAGUGAAGUUUGAACCGGAAGUGAUACAGUCCGCCACGUCCGUGUUCACAGUUGGGAAGAUGGUGUCUGAUGCCGAGAGACCGGAAAUACAGGGUUCAGGAUCCAGGAGGACUAGGAAACUCCGGUUUAAAGGUCACCCGUCUGACCUCUUCCCCCUCCUGGCCUCGGUGCCUCCGUCCUCCAUCUUGGCCCUCUUUGUCACCGCCGCCCUCCUGUCCGUCCUCUGCUGCCUCACGUUCUUGGUGGGGGAACCGACAGGCUGAGGAACCGGAAGUCGGGUGGACGGAUGGAGACGGACUCCAAGGGGGAACCGGACUUCCGGAGCCAUCGGAUUUUUAAUAUUUUUUAACAUUAAAAGCUGGAGAGGUG